UAAACUGAAUGAAGUUGGUGCUGCCAUUUACCAAAAGCCAAUGUCGAAUGAUUGCUACAACCAAAGAUCUCAAAACGAGCCACCUCUCUGCAAAGACUCUGAUGAUCAAAACGCCGCUUGGUAGCUUAUCUAUUCCCUUUCUCACAUCAAUGCAAUGGAACUUUGUUGCUAAAGUAUAUGAUUGCAGGAAUGUUCCACUUGAGGCAUGUAUGCACAAAGUGACAGAAGACUCAUCAAAACGCGGAGCAGUUUGGCCUGAGAAUUGGCCAGAGAGAGUAGAGACUGUUCCUCAGUGGUUGGAUUCUCAGGAAGGUGUGUAUGGAAAACCUGCACAAGAGGAUUUCACAGCAGACCAAGAACGUUGGAAGACUAUUGUGUCGAAGUCAUACCUCAACGGUAUGGGAAUCGAUUGGUCUUAUGUCAGAAAUGUGAUGGACAUGAGAGCUGUCUAUGGAGGGUAAGUACUGAAAAAAAAACAUUCACUAAUAUCAAACUGACUCCAUGUAUUUGUUAUUAAAUGAUCUCUCUCUUUCUUGGUUUCAGUUUUGCUGCUGCUUUGAAGGAUCUGAAGCUGUGGGUGAUGAAUGUAGUUCCUAUCGACUCAGCUGAUACGCUUCCAAUUAUAUACGAACGUGGUUUGUUUGGAAUCUACCAUGACUGGUGUGAAUCAUUCAGCACUUACCCUCGAACUUACGACCUUCUUCAUGCUGAUCAUCUUUUCUCUGCACUGAAGAAGAGGUAUGUAGAUAUACAGUACACUCACAUAUCUCUGUGGCCUUUUCUUGAUUGCAAAAUCUGAUGAUUGUAUGUAUAAAACAACACUCAUUCAGGUGCAGCUUGGUAUCGGCAAUGGCUGAAGUGGACAGGAUUCUUAGGCCACAAGGAACUUUUAUAGUAAGAGAUGACAUGGAAACAAUAGGAGAAAUCGAGAAGAUGGUGAAAUCGAUGAAGUGGAAUGUAAGAAUGACACAUUCCAAAGAUGGAGAAGGAGUGCUCUCUGUUCAAAAGUCAUUGUGGCGUCCUUCAGAGGUCGAGACAGUUACAUGGGCAAUAGCCUGAGGUGAAUGGAAACUAAGAGGAAGAAUAAAAUGGUUUUUUUUACUUUCUAUAGUUUCAUAAUUAAGUUUUUUUCUUUUAUGAUCACAUUGAUUGUUACUUGUAUUAGUCCAAUAUUUGUAUCCCCUUUUCCUUUUGCAUUGACAAAAAUUGUAUACAAGACAAUUGUCUCAAAACUGUAAACUUAUGAGUUUAUGGUUUGGUCCUAAGCACCUAUGAAAAGUCAUAUAUGAAAUGUGAUAUAAGCAAGGACAUGCAUAUAUAAACAUAUUUGUAACUAUUCUAGAAAGUAAAAUAUAAAUAUGACCUUGCAACAGGUCAGAUUAUACAUGUGUUUUAAGUUUAAGAAAGAAAAACAAACAGUUUAGAAACAAGAUUUUAAUCAAACAAAACAUUCAGUCUCAUCAUCUCUUGUAAGGCUCAAAAGGAUAUCUCUGAAACUCAGAUCCAAAGGUGAUAGAUUCCUCAUCGAGUUUCUUCUUCAACCUCCUCCAAGUCCUCAACUUAUUAGACUGUAUUAACCCUUUAUACAACGUCUCAAACGUUAGCUUCUGCGGCAAGAAACCUCUCUCUAUCAUCUCCACAAAGUACCCACAAGCCUCUUUCCAUUUAUCCUUCCCACACAACCCAUGAACCAAACAAGUAUACGAAUCCAAAUCCGGACCCGUCUCGCUUCCUUUAAGAUCAUCCCAAAUCUCUCCCACAAUCUCCAUCUUCCCCAAAAGAUGAACACGAGGCGCAGGUUCAGUUUGCUCUGGAACGUGGUAUCCCUGCAAUGUCAAAUGUUAUGGGAACCAAGAGAUUGCCUUUCCCAGGAUCUGUUUUCGAUCUUAUCCAUUGUGCUCGUUGUAGAGUCCCUUGGCAUAUUGAAGGUGGUAAACUACUUCUGGAACUGAACCGUGCAUUGAGACCGGGUGGUUUCUUUGUCUGGUCGGCAACUCCAGUUUACAGGAAGACCGAAGAAGACGUUGGCAUAUGGAAAGGUUGGAAACUUUGUUCCCUUUUAUUUGCAACUGGUUCUUAACUAACAUGUGAGAUGUUUCUUUAUGUUCUGUAGCUAUGUCGAAGCUAACAAAGGCAAUGUGCUGGAAACUAAUGACGAUUAAGAAAGAUAAACUGAAUGAAGUUGGUGCUGCCAUUUACCAAAAGCCAAUGUCGAAUGAUUGCUACAACCAAAGAUCUCAAAACGAGCCACCUCUCUGCAAAGACUCUGAUGAUCAAAACGCCGCUUGGUAGCUUAUCUAUUCCCUUUCUCACAUCAAUGCAAUGGAACUUUGUUGCUAAAGUAUAUGAUUGCAGGAAUGUUCCACUUGAGGCAUGU
rnacentral:lncRNA from 1 species